rnacentral:rRNA from 1 species
UGAAAACCGGUCUCAGUUCGGAUCGCAGUCUGCAACUCGACUGCGUGAAGGUGGAGUCGCUAGUAAUCGCGGAUCAGCAACGCCGCGGUGAAUGCGUUCCCGGGCCUUGUACACACCGCCCGUCAAGUCAUGAAAGUGGGCAGCACCCGAAGACGGUGGCCUAACCCUUGUGGGGGGAGCCGUCUAAGGUGAGGCUCGUGAUUGGGACUAAGUCGUAACAAGGUACC